rnacentral:rRNA from 1 species
GGGUUGUGAGGUUAAGCGACUAAGCGUACACGGUGGAUGCCCUGGCAGUCAGAGGCGAUGAAGGACGUGCUAAUCUGCGAUAAGCGUCGGUAAGGUGAUAUGAACCGUUAUAACCGGCGAUUUCCGAAUGGGGAAACCCAGUGUGAUUCGUCACACUAUCAUUAACUGAAUCCAUAGGUUAAUGAGGCGAACCGGGGGAACUGAAACAUCUAAGUACCCCGAGGAAAAGAAAUCAACCGAGAUUCCCCCAGUAGCGGCGAGCGAACGGGGAGCAGCCCAGAGCCUGAAUCAGUGUGUGUGUUAGUGGAAGCGUCUGGAAAGGCGCGCGAUACAGGGUGACAGCCCCGUACACAAAAAUGCACAUACUGUGAGCUCGAUGAGUAGGGCGGGACACGUGGUAUCCUGUCUGAAUAUGGGGGGACCAUCCUCCAAGGCUAAAUACUCCUGACUGACCGAUAGUGAACCAGUACCGUGAGGGAAAGGCGAAAAGAACCCCGGCGAGGGGAGUGAAAAAGAACCUGAAACCGUGUACGUACAAGCAGUGGGAGCACAGAGCAAUCUGUGUGACUGCGUACCUUUUGUAUAAUGGGUCAGCGACUUAUAUUCUGUAGCAAGGUUAACCGAAUAGGGGAGCCGAAGGGAAACCGAGUCUUAACUGGGCGUUAAGUUGCAGGGUAUAGACCCGAAACCCGGUGAUCUAGCCAUGGGCAGGUUGAAGGUUGGGUAACACUAACUGGAGGACCGAACCGACUAAUGUUGAAAAAUUAGCGGAUGACUUGUGGCUGGGGGUGAAAGGCCAAUCAAACCGGGAGAUAGCUGGUUCUCCCCGAAAGCUAUUUAGGUAGCGCCUCGUGAAUUCAUCUCCGGGGGUAGAGCACUGUUUCGGCAAGGGGGUCAUCCCGACUUACCAACCCGAUGCAAACUGCGAAUACCGGAGAAUGUUAUCACGGGAGACACACGGCGGGUGCUAACGUCCGUCGUGAAGAGGGAAACAACCCAGACCGCCAGCUAAGGUCCCAAAGUCAUGGUUAAGUGGGAAACGAUGUGGGAAGGCCCAGACAGCCAGGAUGUUGGCUUAGAAGCAGCCAUCAUUUAAAGAAAGCGUAAUAGCUCACUGGUCGAGUCGGCCUGCGCGGAAGAUGUAACGGGGCUAAACCAUGCACCGAAGCUGCGGCAGCGACGCUGAUGCGUUGUUGGGUAGGGGAGCGUUCUGUAAGCCUGUGAAGGUGUGCUGUGAGGCAUGCUGGAGGUAUCAGAAGUGCGAAUGCUGACAUAAGUAACGAUAAAGCGGGUGAAAAGCCCGCUCGCCGGAAGACCAAGGGUUCCUGUCCAACGUUAAUCGGGGCAGGGUGAGUCGACCCCUAAGGCGAGGCCGAAAGGCGUAGUCGAUGGGAAACAGGUUAAUAUUCCUGUACUUGGUGUUACUGCGAAGGGGGACGGAGAAGGCUAUGUUGGCCGGGCGACGGUUGUCCCGGUUUAAGCGUGUAGGCUGGUUUUCCAGGCAAAUCCGGAAAAUCAAGGCUGAGGCGUGAUGACGAGGCACUACGGUGCUGAAGCAACAAAUGCCCUGCUUCCAGGAAAAGCCUCUAAGCAUCAGGUAACAUCAAAUCGUACCCCAAACCGACACAGGUGGUCAGGUAGAGAAUACCAAGGCGCUUGAGAGAACUCGGGUGAAGGAACUAGGCAAAAUGGUGCCGUAACUUCGGGAGAAGGCACGCUGAUAUGUAGGUGAAGUCCCUCGCGGAUGGAGCUGAAAUCAGUCGAAGAUACCAGCUGGCUGCAACUGUUUAUUAAAAACACAGCACUGUGCAAACACGAAAGUGGACGUAUACGGUGUGACGCCUGCCCGGUGCCGGAAGGUUAAUUGAUGGGGUCAGCGCAAGCGAAGCUCUUGAUCGAAGCCCCGGUAAACGGCGGCCGUAACUAUAACGGUCCUAAGGUAGCGAAAUUCCUUGUCGGGUAAGUUCCGACCUGCACGAAUGGCGUAAUGAUGGCCAGGCUGUCUCCACCCGAGACUCAGUGAAAUUGAACUCGCUGUGAAGAUGCAGUGUACCCGCGGCAAGACGGAAAGACCCCGUGAACCUUUACUAUAGCUUGACACUGAACAUUGAGCCUUGAUGUGUAGGAUAGGUGGGAGGCUUUGAAGUGUGGACGCCAGUCUGCAUGGAGCCGACCUUGAAAUACCACCCUUUAAUGUUUGAUGUUCUAACGUUGACCCGUAAUCCGGGUUGCGGACAGUGUCUGGUGGGUAGUUUGACUGGGGCGGUCUCCUCCUAAAGAGUAACGGAGGAGCACGAAGGUUGGCUAAUCCUGGUCGGACAUCAGGAGGUUAGUGCAAUGGCAUAAGCCAGCUUGACUGCGAGCGUGACGGCGCGAGCAGGUGCGAAAGCAGGUCAUAGUGAUCCGGUGGUUCUGAAUGGAAGGGCCAUCGCUCAACGGAUAAAAGGUACUCCGGGGAUAACAGGCUGAUACCGCCCAAGAGUUCAUAUCGACGGCGGUGUUUGGCACCUCGAUGUCGGCUCAUCACAUCCUGGGGCUGAAGUAGGUCCCAAGGGUAUGGCUGUUCGCCAUUUAAAGUGGUACGCGAGCUGGGUUUAGAACGUCGUGAGACAGUUCGGUCCCUAUCUGCCGUGGGCGCUGGAGAACUGAGGGGGGCUGCUCCUAGUACGAGAGGACCGGAGUGGACGCAUCACUGGUGUUCGGGUUGUCAUGCCAAUGGCACUGCCCGGUAGCUAAAUGCGGAAGAGAUAAGUGCUGAAAGCAUCUAAGCACGAAACUUGCCCCGAGAUGAGUUCUCCCUGACCCUUUAAGGGUCCUGAAGGAACGUUGAAGACGACGACGUUGAUAGGCCGGGUGUGUAAGCGCAGCGAUGCGUUGAGCUAACCGGUACUAAUGAACCGUGAGGCUUAACCUUACAACGCCGAAGGUGUUU